rnacentral:rRNA from 1 species
AGAGCACGGCAGUGAGACUGCGGGGGAUAAGCUUCGUAGUCGAGAGGGAAACAGCCCAGAUCGCCGGCUAAGGCCCCGAAGCGUGUACUAAGUGGAAAAGGAUGUGGGAUCGCGAAGACAACCAGGAGGUUGGCUUAGAAGCAGCCAUCCUUGAAAGAGUGCGUAAUAGCUCACUGGUCGAGUGGUUCUGCGCCGACAAUGUAGUGGGGCUCAAGUACACCGCCGAAGCCGCGGCAUCCAUGCAGUGUUGUGUGGGUGGGUAGGGGAGCGUCGUGUGGCCGGUGAAGCUGCCGAGGAAUCGAGUGGUGGAGGCUAUGCGAGUGAGAAUGCAGGCAUGAGUAGCGAAUGACGAGUGAGAACCUCGUCCGCCGAAUGACUAAGGGUUCCUGGGUCAAGCUAAUCUUCCCAGGGUGAGUCGGGACCUAAGGCGAGGCCGACAGGCGUAGUCGAUGGACAACGGGUUGAUAUUCCCGUACCCGCGCACAUGCGCCCAUGGUGAAUCAGUGAGACUAACCACCCGAUAGUGCGCCUGCCGCGGACACGGUUACGUGUUCGCAUGAUGGUGGGUGUGGUAUUCGCGUGGGGCCUAAUAUCUGGUAGUAGCCAAACGAUGGGGUGACGCAGGAAGGUAGUCGAGCCACUGAUUGGAUUGUGGUGUAAGCGUGUAGCCCGCAGGCCAGGGAAAUCCGGUACUGCCCCAAUACGGUUGGGAGGGUGAGACGUGAUGCGUACCCACAGUAUGUGGGGAUGUCGAUGAUCCUAUGCUGCCGAGAAAAGCCUCUAGUGAGUGUGUGUGCGGCCCGUACCCGAAACCGACACAGGUAGUCAGGUAGAGAAUACUCAGGCGAUCGGGCGAACUGUGGUUAAGGAACUCGGCAAAAUGCCCCCGUAACUUCGGGAGAAGGGGGGCCACGCGUGGUGACCCACCCUUGCGGUGGUGAGGCUGCGCGGGGCCGCAGAGAAGAGAGGGAAGCGACUGUUUACUAAAAACACAGGUCCGUGCGAAGACGAUCAAGUCGAAGUAUACGGACUGACGCCUGCCCGGUGCUGGAAGGUUAAGAGGACCUGUGAAACCCACCUGUGUGGUGGGUUGAAGCGGAGAAUUUAAGCCCCAGUAAACGGCGGUGGUAACUAUAACCAUCCUAAGGUAGCGAAAUUCCUUGUCGGGUAAGUUCCGACCUGCACGAAUGGCGUAACGACUUCCCUGCUGUCUCAACCACAGACCCGGCGAAAUUGCACUACGAGUAAAGAUGCUCGUUACGCGCGGCAGGACGAAAAGACCCCGGGACCUUCACUAUAGCUUGGUAUUGAUAUUCGAUACGGUUUGUGUAGGAUAGGUGGGAGACUAUGAGCCCAUCACGCCAGUGAUGGAGGAGUCGUUGUUGAAAUACCACUCUGAUCGUAUUGGGUAUCUUCAAACCUCGGCCCGUGAUCCGGGUCAGGGACAGUGCCUGGUGGGUAGUUUAACUGGGGCGGUUGCCUCCCAAACAGUAACGGAGGCGCCCAAAGGUUUCCUCAGCCUGGUUGGCAAUCAGGUGGCGAGUGUAAGUGCACAAGGAAGCUUGACUGUGAGACUGACAGGUCGAGCAGGUACGAAAGUAGGGACUAGUGAUCCGGCACCGGCUUGUGGAAGCGGUGUCGCUCAACGGAUAAAAGGUACCCCGGGGAUAACAGGCUGAUCUUCCCCAAGAGUCCAUAUCGACGGGAUGGUUUGGCACCUCGAUGUCGGCUCGUCGCAUCCUGGGGCUGGAG